GCAAGUCGAACGGUAACAGGCAAAGCUUGCUUUGCGUUGUCGAGUGGCGGACGGGUGAGUAACGCGUAGAUAUCUGCCUAGUAGUGGGGGAUAGCCCGGUGAAAUCCGGAUUCAUACGCAUAUGCUCUACGGGGGAAAGAAGGCCUCUUCUUGAAAGCUUUCACUAUUAGAUGAGUCUGCGUCGGAUUAGCUUGUUGGUGAGGUAAUGGCUCACCAAGGCGACGAUCCGUAGCUGGUCUGAGAGGACGAUC
rnacentral:rRNA from 1 species